rnacentral:rRNA from 1 species
GACGAACGCUGGCGGCGUGCUUAACACAUGCAAGUCGAACGGAAAGGCCCUGCUUUUGUGGGGUGCUCGAGUGGCGAACGGGUGAGUAACACGUGAGUAACCUGCCCUUGACUUUGGGAUAACUUCAGGAAACUGGGGCUAAUACCGGAUAGGAGCUCCUGCUGCAUGGUGGGGGUUGGAAAGUUUCGGCGGUUGGGGAUGGACUCGCGGCUUAUCAGCUUGUUGGUGGGGUAGUGGCUUACCAAGGCUUUGACGGGUAGCCGGCAUGAGAGGGUGACCGGCGACAUGGGGACUGCGAGACGGACCAGAGUCCUACGGGAGGCAGCAGUGGGGAAUAUUGCACAAUGGGCGGAAGCCUGAUGCAGCAGCGCUGCGUGCGGGAUGACGGCCUUCGGGUUGUAAACCGCUUUCGCCUGUGACGAAGCGUGAGUGACGGUAAUGGGUAAAGAAGCACCGGCUAACUACGUG